ensembl:lncRNA
CUCAGACACACAUGCACUAGCACACACAAUAUCAAAGAUGCUAUGUGAGUUUGAGAAGAAGGGAAAGAGAAACGAUGCAGAUACACAUAAGAGGAAAAUGUUUUCAUGCCGUAAAGGCAGGAAAUGAAACACUCUGAUCCAGAAUGUUCUCUACCCUCCACAAAGGUUGUCCCGAUGUCUGAGAGUGCGUGUCGUGGGUUGGACUAGUGUGUGCCAGGCUGCUCUGUAUUCAAGGUGUGUAUGAGUCGUGACUCAUGUUAGUAUCCGUCAGGGUGUUGUGCGUGCUGAUUGGCUAGGUCACGGAGUCUCUCCGGCCAAUCAGAAGCCACUGAGAUGACCGCUGAGGGAUACAGGACACACAGAGACGGCUGUAUCCAAGCAACACCCUCCCAGCAUCAGAUAAAGACCUUAUAGGACAAACGGUGUUCAGGAAAACUCUCUCUCGUUAUAACAAAGACAAAACUCUUACAUGAAAUAGAAAUAUAGAAGAGCUUGUUGUAUUUCUCAGUCUCUUUUCUGUGGCUUUUCUCACGGUGAAGUCUCAACUCAACUCCAAACUGACCCGUUUCAAUUUAUUCAUCAGGUGCGCCUACAUAGCAGCUUCAAAAGAUGUAGUUUAAUAUUUACAUAUAAAUAAAUAAAUAAAUAAAUAAAUAAACAACAAACAAAAAUGACACAUAAUUGUAAAAUCAUUCUUUCUUUAUCUUUAUUAAUUUAUUUAGUCAGUUAGUUAGCUAAUUAUUCUUUUGUAAAUGAACAAUUAAUUAAAAAAUAAUAAUUCACCGUUAAUAAAUUAAAAAUGUUAUCUUUUUUUUUUUUUACUUAUUCUACCCACAGUGUUCCCAUUUUAUUCACAUGAUCCUUUUAAAAAAAAAUAAAAACAUCACAAAUGUGUAUUUUUGCAUAUUUUUCUAGAUGUAUUUCUAUAUCUCUGUGUCCUCAUUUCUAUUUUCUUUUCUUUUUUUGUAAAUAUAAUGUUUCUAAAAUAUUUGUUUGUCUUUUUGAAAUGAGUAAAGCAUUAAAAGAAAAUAGAAUAAAAAAUAAACAACUUGUUCCUCUACUACUACUUUCAAAUAUACACUCCUCUACAACUACUACUGAUUAUAAUAAUAAAAUUAAACGGCGGUAUUCAAAUUGCUCAAUAGCGAAGAUAUCAUCGGCGAGACUUAUGUAAAGACUUAAAUAAAUAAAAAAUAUCUCCUGGCCGUUUGGUAACACUUUGGGUUGUAAAAAAAUUAUUGCUUCCUAAAUUUGAGGUGUCAGAAUAUGUUAUACACAGUAUGUUAUAGUUAUGUUAUAUAUGUUAUCUCUCUCU